AACAAAUUAGAGCUUGAUAGAAAGCAUUUCAUUUACACUGAGAUUUUAUCUGUGCGAUUCAGAUUAAUUUGAU
rnacentral:tRNA from 1 species